rnacentral:lncRNA from 1 species
GUACCACUGUAUCUUUAUUUUUAUGUGAAAAUUGUUCAGUUUGGUUAUGUAGAUUUGAUGUGUUUUAUUUACUUUUAUGACUGCUGUGUUUGUAAAUCUUUUCCUAUUGUAAGCCGCCUUGAGCAUUGUUUUAACUGUGGAAAGGCGGAAUACAAAUAAAAUGAUGAUGAUGAUGAUGAUGAUGAUGAUGAAGUCUCUCCAUCCCUCAAUCCCUGUCCUCCACUGCUGGAUGCAGUAAAUGCCUCUGGAUUCCAGUAGCUGAGAAUCCCAAGUGGGGAGAGGAGGCACUGCUGCUGCUGUUUGCAUCUGUUUGCAUCUGGCUGGUCUCUGAGAACAGGAUGCUGGAGUUAACUGGCCUGGUCCAGCAAUCUCUUCUUCCUCUUGCAGCCCCUUCCUGUCUCUUGUCCUCCAGGGUCCCUGCAGCUGGCUGAACCCACUCCUGGAAAGGUGCAAAUAUUUUCUCAACAGCUACUAACCCAGAAGCAAAAAUAAUUGUAGGGGGUGCUGAAGGGGGUGGGGAGGCCAUAGCAGCAGCAAAGGCCGGCAGUGCACUGUGGGGACUGGAGUCUGGUCCAGCUGUUCUUCCCCCUUUUCCUUCCCCCCCAGCAGGACAGCCCCCCUCACUCCUUUCCCAGACUCCCCUUCUCCCCCCUUCUUCCCAAUCCAUCUUUCCUGAUCUCUCCCAGCUGCUGCUGGAGGAAGGAGAAGGUGACAGGAGCCGCCUGGACUGGAUGAGCGGAGCUGAGUCAGCAGAAGCACAGGUCCUGCAGGGCCCCUGGGAAAGGAAGAGGAGGGGGCUUCCCCGCUGCUUGUGCUCUGCAGGGUCCCAGAGAGAGAAUCACAGAACCACAGAGUUGGGACCCCCAGGGGUCAUCUAGUCCAACCCUCUGCAAUGCAGCAAUCUCAGCUAAAGCAUCCAUGACAGAUGGCCAUCCAACCUCUGCUUAAAAACCUCCAAGGAAGGAGAGAUCACCACUUCCCAUGGGAGUCCGUUCCACUGUCGAACGGCUCUUGCCGUCAGAAUGCUCUUCCUGAUCUUUAGUCAGAAUCUCCCUUCUUGUAACUUGAAGCCAUGGGUUCGAGUCCUACCCUCCAGAGCAGGAGAAAAGAAGCUUCUUCCCUCUUCCACAUGACAGCCCUUGAGAUAUUUUAAGAUGGCUCUCAUAUCUCCGCUCAGUCACCCCUUUCCCAGGCUGAACAUCCCCAGCUCCUUCAACCAUUCUUAAUAAGGUUUGGUUUCCAGACCCUUGAUCAUCUUGGUCUCCCUCCUCUGCACGCCUUCCAGCUUGUCCAUAUCCUCCUUAAACUGGGAUGCCCAGAACCAGACACGGGGCUGCAGGUGGGCAGAACAGAGUGGGACUGUGACUUCCCUUGAUCUGCACACCAGAUUUGGUCACAUCUUGGUCACAUGUCCAGCCUGGUCUGGCCAGGCAAGGCGCUCCUCCAUCCAGGCCUCUCCUGGUUCUUCUUAUCCAACAGGAGCUAGCAUAAGUUUACCAGAUUUUUUUCAAAGAAUCCGGGGACACUUUUUUUUUUAAAUAAAGAGAAGUCAGUUGACCGGGUGGCCGGGCGCACUCGUUCCUGGUUUGAUUUGGGUCAUGGUAUGCGUGUGUCAGCAGUUCCCCCUUGGCAGUGGCAGCGGCGGCCUCAGCAGCCCGGAGUCAGCCUGGUAGCGCAGCUGGCUCUGGCUUGCUUCAGGAGCUGCUCGCUGCCGUGGCGCCUGCCAUUUUGCCUCAUCGGAAGUCCCCGUAUGAUGUGUCUUGUGCCGUUGAACCAAUCACGCAACGUUCAUUCCCUACUAAUAAACCUACAACUCUUAAAAUAUAAAUCCGGCGACAUUAAAUCAAAUCCGGGGACAUUCCGGGGAUGGAUUUUGUCUGGGGACAGAUUUGUAAAUCCGGGGACUGUCCCUGAGAAAGGAGGACAUCUGGUCACCAUAAGCUAGGAGGGUGUGUGUGUGUUGGGUCUCUCUCUCUAGAAAGUGAGACCCAUGCCUUUCCUUUCAGGGGGCAUCUUGGGCUCUCCUGUCCCAGGGAUCAUUCUAUCUUUGCUCUAUCUGCUUCACCAAGUUGGCUGAGAGAAGGUUCGUGCUUAGGAUUGCUCAUAAAGGCAGAACGUCCAAGAACCAACCAUUUCCCCAGAAGGGCCAAAAACACCAGAGUGACCACCGAACAAACCGACCGGAUGCAGCUCAGACACGAAGGUGCAUCAUCCAGGCUUUUGAAUUCCCACUGGGUUUGCUUGGGCCAGAAGUUCUGAAAACUUCCAGUGAAAGAAGAGCCGAUUCCACGAAAACCCUUUUCUCUGGAAUUGUCAUCAUUUGUUCUCUCUCUCUCACAGACACACACACACAACCUCCCAGGAGAGAAUCCAGAUGGCAUUGCCAAAUCACAGAACUGUAGAGUUGGAAGGGACCCCAAGGCUCAUCUAGUCUAUCCCUUGUCGUGCUAGAACUGCAGCAAAUUCUUGCCCUUAAUCUUCCAAUAUUCAGUUUCCUUAGUUGUCCAUGAGUUCUAGAGUAACAAGGAAAAAAACACCACAUCUCUCCACUUUCUCCCUGUCAUGUGUGACGUCUAUCCUGUCGCCUCUUCCUGAGAGCAAGACAAAAUUCAGGACGCCAAGUUGGUGAGCAUUCCUGCCUCCAGUGGGAGAGAGUUCCAUAGUCUAACUACACACUGCAUAAAGAAGAGCUUUCUUUUGUGUGUUCUCUCCUCCCUUGUCGCUGGGCUCUGCCCUGGCCUGCCCACUUUCUCCAUCUCCCCACUCGGCUCUGCUUUCCUUCCUUUCCCCUGGAUCAGGGCCUCCCCCAGCACACCAGGCCUGCCGUUUCUCUCCCAGGCCUUUGCUGCCCCGGCCAUCGCCAGAUAAAAGGCCUGCAAGCAUUCCAUGACAUCAAACGCAGCCAAUCCGGGACGCAGCCCCCACAAGUCCCACCCCCAUGUGCUCUUGCUCUGUAGGCCGCUCUCUUCCCAAAGGCUGCUUUGUCCCCACUUUCGGCUGUAGCAAAGCGCACCAGGAGGGUUUCCGCUCCGGAGUCCCAGGACUGGAAGAGAGGAGCCUGGUGCCUUGAGCAGCCGCCUUCCUGCUGUCACAUCAGAUUUGACUGGGAGGUCAAGGAGAAGUUCCUGCUCUGUGGAGGUUUCCUGCCUGAUGCAGCUGUCGUGGUCAAAACUGGGGCUGCCCUGCAUUCAUUUUUAUCGAUUUUCCAACGAAAAACAACCAAUUAAAUAUCCAAUCAUAAUACUUC